CGUUCAAGCAAGAGCUGCUUAGUCGUCAUUAGAAACAAAGAAGAAAAAUGGAAGCCCUGCUCCAGCUUCGCUGGCAGAAAUAACAUUUCCUCAUUGGAAUUUUUACAUAGAAUGAAAACAAAAACCGCUAGCUAGCGUCUCAGAGAGAUGCAUUGUAGGACUGGACAUGACUCCACACAGUUUAAUUUUAGAAGUCACGCCACGAGCGAGUAGCUUUCAAGGGCCAUUAUGGGAUGCAAACAAUGUUCUGUGUUGAGGCCCAUGCGGCAACCGAGAGCCGUUCAGCAGCUGAAUAAGGAACGCAGUGCAUUCUUUCUUAACCCCUAGCUGGUUGCUUAUUGUGGUUUCAUAUCUGUGGCUAAUGACUAGGUUGACACUUAAACUUUCUUGGUUAGUCAAGGAAAGGAACUGUGGUUCAGAUUCAUUUGUUCUAGAAAUCACAGGAGGCGUUGUUUCCUCGGGAGCCUGUAGAAUUACUAGGCUAAAUUUAGCUUCCUUGUGGAAGAAACCAAUCAUAAAUCCUAGAAGCAAGCGGUCACAUGCUGUUUAUAGGAUUUUUGUGUGUGUGGAAAAGGUAUGGUUAUAAUUGGCUAUGGCUAACCUAUUGUUUCAGACAGACAAAUGCUUGAUGCGAGAUCACUAGGAACAGCUGACUGAAAUAUGUGAAGUCAAAUUUAAUCUUCAGAAUUGAAGUUUUAGAACUAUUUCCCAGGGGGAAAAAACAACAUAUUGUUCAUUAUCAAGUCAAAAAAGCUCUUUAGUCCCAAGAACAUUAUUUCAGCAUUCUGGGGUAUACACAUGGACCAGUGUUUCUCCCAGGAAGCAUGACUGGCUUGUUAUUCAGGCUAAAGAUGUGCAAACUCUGCUAAUAAUAGCUAAGGGCAGUGGUAGGCUAUUGUUUUGCAAAGAGGGUACUUAGGAUGAAAGCAACUAAUCACCCAACACUUGUGUUUUCUGACAGGACUGAAGGGGGUUUCAAACCACAUUUGGCAUUACAGGUAUGGCAAAGACUAACCUUGGACCUACGAAACUACAUCCAAUAUCACCAAGCAACUAACAUGUGAUAGGCUCUGUGUUUACACUAAGGAAAAUGGAAACAUGAUUCCUGCUUUUCAGUGAGCCUAAAAACCUGGCUAAUAAUUAACACACAGAGACUGAUGACCAAACUACCUGUCACUACAGCACCCCAUAUAGCACAAUCCCCAAGCUACAAGCAUCAAGAAAAGGAGAGAUGGCUUCUGUACGGGAUCAUAAUAUGAGACAUAGCACACACUCCUUAUGUUAGGAGGUCCAUUAGGAGGACAGCCUCUGUCUGACUCAUUCGUUACUGUAUUCCAAGAAAUGGAUGCCGGGGAGCCUGGAACACAGCCGGCAAUCCACAAAUAUAUACGGGACCUGUGUGUAAAUAAAAGAUAAGCAGCAGGUUCAGAAACAAGAACCUGGGCCCUAACGUUUCAACUUUGGUUCUCAUAAGUUUCUAGAAAUUGAGAGCCUUAAAGAGAUGAUUGGCCAGUAACUAUGGUGGCCUAGAAUGAAGCAAAGGAGGGGAAUCAGCAAGAUGGUGGCCCCGAGAACAGAAGGAGGCAGUGAGAGGCACCAUUCAGUAAGUAAGACUUGCCACCUGGCUGGACAGAAGAAAGAGGAGGUGGAGAUGAUCGGGAGUCAUCUGGGCCGAGGUAGAAUGAGCUACACAGCAGGCAGCAAUAGGUAGCUGGCUGAGAGAGAUGGUUUUGAAGCCUGCUGAGUAUAAUUAAGUGAUGGGAACCGAGUAAAGGUUCUACUGUAGGAAUGGCUGGAAGGGCUCACUCACUCAUUUAUCAGGAAGCAGAUGCUUGGAAAACGUGACGAAUGGAAUUUCUGAGCAGACGGAACAUCUAUGCCAAGGAGCAGAGGUGAAUAAUGAAAGCUUCAGAGGAAAGCUGCCCUUAUAGAUGGGAACAUGACUGGCUCAGGGGAGACACAUCUGCUUCCGGUGACACAGUAGUAGCCGGCGGAAUGAGGAAGAAAUGCAAGUCCAAAACUUGGGGUACUUGGUACUUCAUUUAGCACAAGAGAAAUAAACUUCAGGUAUAUGCAUAGGAGUGAGAGUUAAGACCUAAGUUGGUGUGCCUGUGGUAGGACUAGAAGGAAAAGACGUGGCCAGUGAAUUAUAUCGGGGCAAAAACUUACAUUAAAAGAACUGAGCAGAGUCAAGAAGGCAUUGAGGCAUCAGGAGCCACCACUGCUUCAGUGUGACAGAGGCCAGGCAAGGGUCUCAAGAAGACCACAGUCUGUAUAUGUGUGUAGUCGUUGACCUUCAAAAGAGUGGUUUCAAUAGAUUUAAAAGUAGUUUUCAAUACUGUUAAGGUGUAAGGGAAUAUGUGUUUUGAGGAAGUAGAUUGUUCACUUAAGCAAGAACUAGCAGAAGGCAACAGCAGUUGCUUGGAGUUCAUUGUUAAAUUAGAAAGAUGUAUGCUUAUUUGCAAGACUUCCGCCUCUGCUAACACUGAUUUGGUGCCUACGAAGACACAGUGCCUUUCUCUGGAAAGCUCAUGGUUCCUUGGUAGAGGCAACGAGUGUGAGUAGAGAGGAAAGCAGACAGCAAAUGAGGCUAGAAUCAGUCCUCAAGGGUGAGUGAAUGAAGAUUCCUCACAGACAACCAGUUUUGUGCAUAGAAGAGACCCAGUGGAGAGCACACGGCGUGGGAAGGACGAAAAGGGGGGCGGUGACAGGCACAAGUGAGAGACAAAGCUGAUGAUGCAAUAUUCCAAACAGGUAUUUCUAAGAUUCCCGGAACAUCUCCGAUACAACCAGAGAGGAGAAGUCACAUGACAGUACAGGAACAGCGAGAGGUUCAGAAGAUGAUACUUCUGUGUUCUAAAAGUAAAUCAGAGUGCACAGACAUGUGCUUCAAGAAUGGAUAUAGAGGAGGGACUAGGGACUUCAGCUGGAUGAAGAGCCUGUAAACAGAGAUCAGUAAGGAAGUAAUAAAAGAACCACUCUAACAGUUCCUUUGAGCCCCAGCGCUCCUUUAAGAAACAUCCUGUGAAGAAGGAAGUAUGGUUAGCCUCCUCCUCUGGAUGAGCAUGUCUGUCAGGAGUCACCCAGUGUGACACCCAAUUCCACGCCUAGCAGAGAGCGGCCACCCUCGGACGCUUCCUCAACAUGGAAGCAGCGUCCAGAAGCAGCGUCCAGAACACAGGGGUCAGAGCAGAGCAAAAGUUUCAGCAUCAUGUUUCCGACCCUGGCCCUUCCCUGUCUAGCCAUGUGACUUAAGGCCAUCCAUCUACCUCUGUGGCCACUGUCCAAUACCCUCAUGUGAUUGUUCUUAAGUAUCAACAAGAGGGGAGAUUUGGAAGACAUAUGACCAUUUAAAAAAUAUAUGUAGAAAGAAUGGGAAUUGAACUUACUAUUUAACAUAUCGUUCUCAAUUGUUUUGAAAUAUGCUAGAACAUUUUGGGGGCCAAUGAAAGGAAGAAGAAUGAAUGAAUAGAAAGGAUUAGGGAUAAAUUGUCUCACCAGUCCAGAGUAUAUUAUAUGAAACUUUAAAUGUUUUCUCAACGUGACAUACAUCAGUAUGUCUUCCAAGAAUGGGAACACUGUUUCUGUGUUUUCUCCAAAAAGUAUGAUGUGAGGGAAAUAAAUGAAUGCAUUUUUUUCCAAAAGGAAGUCCAAACAACAUUAGAAUUCAUUUGCAUCCAAGUUGAUGCCCAUUAAAGCAGCACUGAGUGUGCCUGGCUUCUAAUUUUUCUCUUGUGAAAGAAACUUCAAAAUGAUCUUUAUUUUAUUUUAUUUUAUACAAUCUGAGGGAUUACGUAAUGUUUUAGAAAUAAGGAUCGUGUUCUAAGGUUGAUACAUAUGUCACUCACUGUGCUACUGCUGAACUAGCGAGGACUCGGCAUAUGUACAAGGGAGCUUUUUGUUAUCUCACUGGAUGGGACAGCAAAGCAAAAGAAAGCCAGAAGAGAAGGAUGUAAUUAAUCAUUUAAUACAUUCCAUUUUCUUAACCAUCCCGUUAAUUAAGACUAGUCUCUGUUUACAAAGCUGUAUGUUGGUGAGACCAGAGUGCCAAGUGCAGACUCUGGUGCCAAAUGUACAACCACAUACUCUGGCCAGGUGCAUUGUGGGACUCAGCCCAUUUGUGAGGAUGGCUCUGUGAAUUUGAUGAUAGAUGCAGGUUAGCGCAGUGCCUAGCCCCUGGUAGGUCAACAAUUGUCCUAUAUUAUCACUGUUGGUUCAUAGUCCCAGAAAACAUAGAUGGGCAUCUAUAAUGUGCAAGAUACCAAGAAGAGGGCUGACGUUUCAAAGAUGAUUAAAUUACUUUCCAAUUGUCAGGGGGAACAGAAACUAGUAGGGGAGGCAGGCAAUCACACAAUAGUUUAAACUCAAGGAAAGAAGUUCAAAGAAGAGAAAUGUAGCCUAGCUAUGGAGUUAAAUGGGCGUGGCAAUCAAUUAUCUUUUCCUCCUUAGGAAUCCAUAAUUUUGAGAAGCAGAACCCAGCUACAGUUGUGGCAACAAAGCUAAGCUAUAUGACCCAAAACAAGUCGCUCAGUUUCUUCUGCUUCAGCAGCUUCCUAAUUUGUCAAAUGAAUUUUGAGUAGUAGCAUUCUAGGGUCCCCUGGUACUGGCUUAGCACACCUAUUUUGUGUGUCUCUUCUCAGUUUCUAUUUCAGUGACCUUAUCUUAACAACCCAAAUCAUCAUGAUGGGACUGCUACCUCAUAGGAACUGGCAAAUACCCCAAACUAGAGCUCUGGCCUCCCACACAGGGAUGGUUCUUGACUAUGUACUGGCAUUCCUGAACUCAACUACUGAACUCCAAAGUAUGUUCUGAGUGUAACAAUUUUGAUCUCAGAGACAUUUUUUUUUCUACAAUUACCUGUCACGCCGGUGCGACCAACUUGCCUAUAUUACUCUUGCUUCCCAGCUCUGUGCCAGACCUGGCUAUGCCUGAAAUUGUAGUGGUUAUAAUGGUAGUGACUCCAGACACACUCACUUCCCAUCUGUUUUCGUCUUGACACAUUUAUUCCUGUGAUGUCUCUGAAUGAGACUUUCAACCCAGAAUGCCUUUUCACCACUUCUGCCCCAUUUUUUUUCUUUUGGAAAUAACGCUGGUCAUUUCACUCUUUUUUAAUUAAAUGGAACAUAUAAAGAUGAUUCAAACAGACUGACUAAUUCAUUCUCCUGAAGUCUGGCACACAGCAGAUGGCACUGAGUCACCUAUAAAGCAUCUCUUUAGAUCUCUGCCGUUGGCAGCAAGGAUACUCUCACUAAACAAGCAUUUCCUGUCAAUGAGCACCCCGGUGCCAUCUUGGUCAUAAACCUGGGGCAUUUAUGAAUCCUUACGUUAGAGACAGCCUGUUAACUAUGAAUUCAGGCUCCGCCCAACCUUCCCAGUGGCCAUUCAACUCUUCUCGGCCACUUCUCGGCUUCCGAGUUUUCGCAUGAAAAUACCUUGCAUUGGUCAUGUCCUCCCUCCCAAACCUAGCAAUGGGGUGGGUUCUCAGGCUUUUGUCGAGUAGCACCUGUGCCGCUCAGCCACUGUACCAGCAAGAAGCAUAGUGUUCUCCUCAAAGAUUGAUUCCUUGGGGACAAUCACAGCAGGCACAAUGAGACACUUCUUAAAGAGGAAGACUUUGUAAACUUUGGCACAAUUAACUUUGCUUUAGGAACUGAUUCUUCUCAAAAGUCCCGGUGAUGUAGAGCUAUGUUGAAAACACUUUCCAGUUUGUGAGAUACACUCAGUUAUACCAUCUUUUCUAGUUGGUACAUAUAAGAUAAACAUUAUUCUCAUUUUGUUUCAGAUGACAUAUAUGUUUAAAGAGAAUAAAAUGUUAGCUAAAUGCACACAAAAAAACCAAGGUCUCAAAAAAAAAAAAAAACAAAAAAACAAAAACAAAAAAAAACCCCAACAAACCCAAGGUCUCUUUGGUAUUUCUAAUUUUUAAAAUAUCUGAUGCUUAUUUGAAAUGUUUCUCUUUAGUAGCAUUUCUAGGGCAAAGAUUUCAUUCAGAAGACGCAGAAACACUUAUUUACACCUGCUUAGCACCCACUAUUUCUUCCCCAGAAGCUUUUUUGAGAACUCUCUCUGCCCCGUCUACUGAGACUGCCUACCAAUCAUAUUGCUUAAGUCUCACUGCAGGGAGAGUAUGCGCACCAGACUGGCUUUUCGAGGAGCUCUACUCCUCUGAGCCAGUGCUCUGUCAGGGUGCACACGUGACCAAAGCAAGGACAACCAAAUGGAUGCUGGCAGAGAAUGGCUCAUGUUCAGAGAUUCCAGACAUUCAGAUGAUACCUCCUGCGGCUUUCUGAGGGCCAUCUUUGCUGCCAUGUUGGCCAAGCUAGCCAGAGUUGAAGUUGAUGCUGUGGGCAGAGGAGCUCAGACUUGGAGAGAGGAAGGUUCUCACUGUCAUUUGGCAAUCUGAAUCCCACCAUAGUUUAAGCUUAUAAGAGCCAACGAAAUUGUUUCCUUCCUUCUUCCUUUUUGUCAGCCAUUUAAUAAUGAUCCCUUUACUCCGUGCAAACCACAAGCAAAUAAUAUCCAGGAAAAAAAUAUGAACUUGUGAGUUCAUAACACAGGUCAAACGCAAAAAAAAAAAAACAAAAAAAACCCCAAAAAACCAAAAACCUCAACUUUACAGGAAAUGGAAAAGAUCAGACAUGCUCAGUAUGGUACAUAAAAUAUUCAAAUAAAGUGGAACAAAAUAUUUUCUUUGUGUUUUUCAACAAUUACUUGUAAAUAUUUCACUUGACACCUGGGAAUAUAUUCAUUAACUGAGAUUCUUGAGGUGGUUUACCGUUUUAUUUCUUUCUCCUAUUGUAUAUUUCUGAAGUCAUUUAUAACAUUUAGCAUAAACUCAAGAUGAAAAUAAUGUACCUAAGUGGUGAGUUAAAAUAAAAAAUUAUAAAAGAUUUCAACAGUACAUUUGAGUGUAAAAGGGAAUUUAUAAUUCUGGAAAAUGGCGGAGAUGCCAUAUUGAGGAAGCUAAACCAAAAAAACCAGUCACUGCCACAUAUAAGGGGGCUUGCAAGAACGAUAUUCCAAGGAAAAUUCUUAGAUCUCUCUACAUUACACCCUUUCCAUUAACUUUGAAAGUAGGAGAGGUAGAACUACACCUUUAAGAUGGUCCCGCAGGUAAGAAACUUGGCAUGCAGGCAUAUGAGACCCUAGGAGAGUCCAUGGAACUCACAUGAAGUGCUGAAGUAACGUGCAUGUCUGUAAUUACCAGAGCCUCUGCUGCAAGAAAGGAAGUGGAACCUGGAGACUAUUCUGAAGUGGGUGACCAGCUAGCCUGGGAUACACAGUGAUGAACAACAGAGACCCUCUUCAAAGAAGAGCGAAGAUUAGGAUCAAUUCCAGGGUUGGCUGCCAACCUCUGCGUGAUCAUCAUGCAUGAGCCUGCUUCACCAGAUAAGAAAAGAGUUUGGAAAGCAUGAACCUGACUGGGCAGUCAGAACGGGAGUCGAGAGGGAGACACAUCCAGAGAAGAGGAAGCUGCUACAUUGCUCACUGGUGAAUCAGACAUCCCCUCCUGUCUGCGGGUGGAGGUGGAAAAUGUCCUGGGCAUAAGGCAUGUUCUGGUUCCAAAUGGGGGAUCCGUGCUCAGGAGUGGGUUAAUCCGUGUCUUUCCUCUCUCCCUUUCCUCCCUCCAUUAUCUUUGGAAUGAGACAAGGUCUUGUAUGUUGUUUAGGCUGGUCUCAAAGGGUCUUCUUUUUGUCUCUGCUUCCUAGUGCUAGGCUUAAAGGCAGGUUACACUACUGACGGGUCCAUUUCCUCUGGGUUGGCACAAGGCAAACACUAAACAGCUGCGCAGGGAAAUAGGCAGUGAGUAGGUCCAUUUUUGUCAUGGUGGCUGCGCCAUAAGGAGAGAAACCACUACCUAGCAAGAAAGGGGACACAAGGUGUCACACCGGGUGGACAUUUCUUUCUAGGACUCUUUUCACUUGGUUCUCAACUCCAUUUGGCUCACGUCUGAGAACAUCUAGGAUGCUGACGCUAGCAAGCCACCUCUGAAACCGAAUGAGUGACGUCUCCCUUUUGAAGCUGAAUUAUACAAAAAUUUCUUCACUAGGCAAAGUAGAGAUUGUGGUACUACUGUGAAUGAAUGGAAUUACCAGACUUGGCUGUUAUUUUCCACAGGUGAGGAUUUUCAUGGGUGAAAAUAAUGCAAUUACGUGUGUGAUCAAUAUAUCAUCAGAAAAUGAAGAACUAAGCACAUUUUCUACGAAAUAAAAAUUAAAUACCUUUAAAUGAACAGAGAAUGGGAAGUGAGUCAAACCCUAUGAAAAUAGGACAGAGCAGAAAGGUAAGUAUAGGACCCCAUUUCUAACAUUCAGUAAACACCCUGAAUGCUUGAAAAAAAAAAUCAAUAAACCUAAAGGUUAGGACAACAUAAAAACAACUGUGCUCAGCAUUGCAUUUAUAUAACUGAUCAAUGGAAGAGAAAACAGCUCAGUACUGUGUGUGUGUGUGUGUGUAUGUGUGUGUACUUACACACAGGCUCCUGUUUCUGUGUAAGAUGUAUGUUUGAGGAAAAGGAAGUGUAAGAAGAGGGAAUGGUCUUUUUAAAUGACCCUUUUCACUUAAAGAAUCACUGCCCAGAGGACUAGGUGCCCUCUUCCCCACCUAUAACAUGAACACUCCUGGUUGGUACCCCCAGCUAUUUAGUCCCAGAGAAAUAUCAUACAUAGGUCUCCAUAAAUUAUAAGCUGAUUGGCCCAUUAGCUCUAGCCUCUUACUGGCUAACUCUCACAUCUUGAUUAAUCCAUUUUUCUGAUCUAUGUUAGCCAUGUGGCUCAGUACCUUUUUUCAGUGGUUGCAGAUCACAUCCUGCUGCUUCAGUGGUCUGGGCAGGAGUGGGAGGAAUCAACUUCCUCCUUCCCAGAAUUCUCCUGUUCUCAUUACAUCAUUUCUACUUCCUGUCUGGUUUUCCGCCUAUAUUUCCUGCCUGGCCAAUCAGCGUUUAUUUAAAACAUGAUUGACAGAUUACAGACAAUUCUCCCACACCACCCACCCACUUCUAGCAGUGCUGUCAUAAGAGGAACACAAAGAGAAGGGACACUAAAGACAUCCCAGAAAGCAGGAAUGGCUUAAACUAGGUCUUAGGACAGCUAAGCUAGAUGCAGACACUUUGAGGACAAGGGACAUAGCUUUUCUAAUACAGUAGUAGAGAGGCUGGGUGGGAGGGGCUCACAUGGUUGAAACUGUCAAAUCACAUUCACAGAAAGCCUCGUGCAUUCUGUUGAAGGCUCUGCAUUCUAUGUGUUGUUGGAAACCAAUGGAUAUGGAAGUUAGUAGAAACAUCCCAUUUUGGUGAGCAUGGGGUGAGCAGACAGAAGUGGGAAGGAGACAAAGGCUGUAAAACAGUGCAGAGGGUCAUUCAACCAUCUAGGCACAGUGUUGUGGGAUAUUUGUACAUUGUGUGAAGAUGUAUUUUCUGUGAUUGGUGUAAUAAAAAGUUGAACGACCAAUAGCUAGGCAGGAGGGAGGGAGGGGGGGGAGAGAGAGAGAGAGAGAGAGAGAGAGAGAGAAGAAGAGGAGGAAGAGGAAGAAGAAGAAGAGGAAGAAGAAGGCUGGAGAGAGACACUAGGAGACAGGAAGGAAACAGGAUGGGCAGUACAUGACAGAACAUAGACUAUUAAAAAUAGGUUAAUUUAAGUUAUAAGAGCUAGUUAAAAACAAGUAUAAGCUAAGGUCAAGCUUUUAUAAAUGAAUAAAUCUCUGUGUUGUUAUUUGCAGGCUGGUGGUGCUGAUGAGAAAGGUUGCUUCAGCACAAGGAUGAGGAUCAAGGAGAAAAAAGUGGGGACUCCCUAGUUCAGUAUUGUUUGACCUUCAUGAGCAGAGAGUAUAAAAAUCCAUCUCUCUGCAUUAGUUCUGUCUAUCAACAACUACUCAGCCUGAAUUCAGCACAUGUUCAUCAGGCCCUACUAUGCUUGAAAUACAUCAGGAAGCAGACACACACUCCAGUUCUUUUGGGAAGCACUUACUAGCAGGGGCAAUACAUAAGCAGGCAGGAUGUAGAGUAUAUUAGAAGUUGACAGCGUCUGGAGAUCUGAACUGUCUCAAGGGAGGGUACAGGGAGAAGUCUGUGGCUUUGAAAAUCUGUGGAGGUGACUUUUGAGAAAAAGGUCGAGGGAGGGAGAACUCAGACAAAUGGCAUGUGGAAAGAGAUUUCUGAGUAGGGGUAAGAAGAAUGGAAUCCCUUUGAAUGUGUGAAGGAAGACCGCCCAUGGCAGGGGUUAACGUGGCCUAAGGGGAGGCACUGAAGCCAGCGGAAGACUGCUGACGUGGUCCCACCUGAUGGACUGGCCUGGGCUACAAGGAAAUAAGGAGUUUCCUUCGGGCUGAAAUGGCUGAACUGUGGCUGUAUUUUGAUGAUAGAGAGAAUGGAAUUAAAAUAUCAGGUGUGUGGUUUAAAAGGGAAUUAAAACUAAAGAUUUUAUAAUAAGGAAAAUGGUCUUCCCAAUUGAAGAUACGGUGAUGCAAAGGGUUAGCACAACCAGUGGGGUUUACGACCAGGAAUUUUGAAGACCAGGGGAUGUGAAGAAACCAGUUUGGUUGUAUUCACAGUUGAUGUACAGCUUACACAGUCAAGAGUUGUUAGGCAUGUGGUGAAAUAUUUGGUUCUUAGAAUGAAGAAUAAAGGUCUAGAACAAAGACUUAAAUUAAGAAGCAAUCAGCAUGUAGGUAGUGUGGAAAGAUAGGAAGUUGGGUGAGAUCACCAUGAUGGUUAAUCUUCAGGGUCCAUUUGACUGGGUUUGGAAUCACCUAGGAGAUGCACCUCUGGAUAUGUCUGAGAGCAUGUUUCCAGAAAGAUCUACCUCAAAUGUGUUACAGAUUAAACAGAAAGGAAAAGGGGAGCAAGCAAGUUAUGCACUGGCAUUCAAGGCUUUUUGCUUCUUGAUUACGGACACAAUGUGACAAUCGAUCAGUCUCAUGUUCUACCACCAUGCUUUCUUUGCCCUGAUGGGCUAUUUUGUUGCAGACCACCAACCACCAACCAAAACAAUCCCCUUCUCCUGAGAGAACCAGGCAGGCUUCAGCAGAACUGCAGCCAUAUAGCACAAGGACCUGAGCAGACUUUGAGACCAACACUCCCUUAAGUUGCUUCUUGUUAUGCAGUUUGUUACAACAACAAAUAAAGAAUUAAUACAACCUAAAAGGAAAAGAAAAGAGAGGACAAGAAGUGUAGAAGCGAGGGCUGGAGCCAACAAAGCUAACAGGCUGGAAGAGCAGGAGGAGUAAGUGGAGCCAAAAGAACAGAUGGAGAUCCUUGUGGAACCUGUACUCGCUCUCCGGACACCUGCUCUCCCACCGGCAUCUUAUCUGUGCCUCACAUCUCCCACAUUCCCACAUCGUCAUCGUAUUGGACUCCCGUUUGCAGGAAUGGCAGACAUGCCUGUCUCAUUGCUCAGUGUCACCUCUUACCUGUACUGCUACAGUUUUCUACCUGGUUUCCCCUCUCCACCCUUGUCUUCAUCAUAUGCUCUCCAAAGCACAAGAGACAUUUUUUCUUCCUGGAUGGAAAAUCUGAUUAUGCUGUUUCUGAACUGAACAAAGAGUCACUGCCUUAGGAAAUCUUGAAAGACACACGUGAUCUCCCCAGACUUACUACUGCAAUUGCUGGACUAACCAUUCGAUUCUGAGUUUUUAAAGCAAGCUAUGUACUCUCCCACUUUGGGUGUUGGCGUAUGUGGGUUUUCUUUAUGGAGCAGUCUUUAGUUGCUUCACCCGGAUAACUCUCGGUCUCGCCUUAGGAGAUUUGUCUGGAAAAUUUUGAUGCCUCUCUCGUCUUCCAGAGGGAAACAGGGACUCUCUCAGGUGCCUUCCUCUCAUCUUGCCCUCAACACACUGCAUUGCAAUGUGUGUUUCUUACUAGCCCGGGAACGUGGCUGUCAACUACUAAAUUAUUGUCAUUACAUGGCACUUAGUAAACACAUAUGACAAAAGAAAUAAAUGAAAUUAAGUUAAUAUCUGAAAGAAUGAUCGCAAACAGAGUUCAUAAAUUUAGGUCGAAAGUGAUGACAGGACUAGGAAGAUACUAAGAAGAGAGAGAACACUUAUGUGCUGAUGAUUCAGCAAAGUUGUUGAUCAUAAGAGAGACUGAGACUUCAAGAUAGUUUAAUUACUACCUCAAAGACACCUUCCAAAGUGAGAUGGUAGUCUAAGUAAAAGACCUCGGAGUCAAAGACAGAAAUUUGUGUUCCAUUGGUUCAUCUGAACUACAAAAGCUGUCGUCUUCAUUGUUUCAGAGCAAUGCAUUUAAACUUUAUGCAGGAUAAACACCCAUAAUUUAAAAACCAAGAAUGUAAUGUCCUCUAAUGUCUGUCAUCUUUUGAGUACCUGCACGCCUAAAAAGUUGUGAGUUCUGAAGCAUUUUUUAAUUUUGGAUAUUUAUUAUGGCCUAUGCUUUCUAUUCUAGAAUCUGCGUGAUGGAAAAAAACUCUAAAAUUUGAAACUUUUCUGACCCCAGCAUUUCAGACAGGGGCUAGCAUUGCCUUAAUUGCAAAGGUAUAAAGAAAAGUAGUAAACAAAGGAAACACGGAGACACAAGAGGCUGAGUUUGGAUGGGUUUUGUGAAGAAGAGGGGGUGGGGUGGGGGGAGAAAUUAGACAUACAUCGUGGAUCAGAGUGUAUUCCACAGGGGGAGACAGUGGGAAUAAAACAAAUGUCCAUUAUCUUUGGCAACAAGGAGACUUUCUUGGUAUAUGAAGGUGACUACUUGAAUCAAAUGAGUUAGGCAAUUAAUAGGAAAAAAGUAAGCAGAGAAAACAGGUUAGGCAUACAUUUUCAAGAACUCUUACUGAAAAGAUAAGACAAAUCCGAGCAACUUCUUAGGCAACUGUGUAUUUAAGAUCCUAUCAGCACGCCUUGCAUCUGUGUUUUCUUUCUUUCUUGAAGAGGCAGCUGGUUGCUUAAGGGCUGAAUGAAAAAAAUGGUUUAGGGAGAGUUUAAAGAUGGGAGGGCAGGAGCAAAAACGAGGGCAGGGCAGGCAGAACAAUCAAAGAUGCUGGAGAGACGGAGAUCAGGAUCACAGGUUGGAAAGACCACUUCACUCUCUGAGACAUACCCAAGGAGGUCAAAAUGAGUGACAUGGAGACCAAAUGGGCUUCUGCUACUCUCUACGUCUGAAAGGAGACCUUACAUCGAGAAUAAAGAAAGCCAAAGGCAGCUGAGAGCUUGAGAAAAUGGUGAGAGUUUGAGUCUUUGCAGUGGGCCUGGGGAAAGAUGGAAGAGAGAUCUAUAGGGAAGGGACUCACUGUGAACGGGUCAAAGAUGGAAGGACCAAGAACGAAACUAUGUCUCAUGAUUCUCCCAUCUUAAAGCACGUAGUGCCUGUUCCCAUUGAGCUUCUACAGAGAGAGCAGGCUGAGUUGAGGAGCAGAUGGCUACACGAUUAUGACCUCUGCAGCAAAUUCCUCUUAAUGUUUACAUAAUUCAUCAGAUCUAUGGGCCUUUA